rnacentral:rRNA from 1 species
GGGUUGUGAGGUUAAGCGACUAAGCGUACACGGUGGAUGCCCUGGCAGUCAGAGGCGAUGAAGGACGUGCUAAUCUGCGAUAAGCGUCGGUAAGGUGAUAUGAACCGUUAUAACCGGCGAUUUCCGAAUGGGGAAACCCAGUGUGAUUCGUCACACUAUCAUUAACUGAAUCCAUAGGUUAAUGAGGCGAACCGGGGGAACUGAAACAUCUAAGUACCCCGAGGAAAAGAAAUCAACCGAGAUUCCCCCAGUAGCGGCGAGCGAACGGGGAGCAGCCCAGAGCCUGAAUCAGUGUGUGUGUUAGUGGAAGCGUCUGGAAAGGCGUGCGAUACAGGGUGACAGCCCCGUACACAAAAAUGCACAUGCUGUGAGCUCGAUGAGUAGGGCGGGACACGUGGUAUCCUGUCUGAAUAUGGGGGGACCAUCCUCCAAGGCUAAAUACUCCUGACUGACCGAUAGUGAACCAGUACCGUGAGGGAAAGGCGAAAAGAACCCCGGCGAGGGGAGUGAAAAAGAACCUGAAACCGUGUACGUACAAGCAGUGGGAGCACAGAGCAAUCUGUGUGACUGCGUACCUUUUGUAUAAUGGGUCAGCGACUUAUAUUCUGUAGCAAGGUUAACCGAAUAGGGGAGCCGAAGGGAAACCGAGUCUUAACUGGGCGUUAAGUUGCAGGGUAUAGACCCGAAACCCGGUGAUCUAGCCAUGGGCAGGUUGAAGGUUGGGUAACACUAACUGGAGGACCGAACCGACUAAUGUUGAAAAAUUAGCGGAUGACUUGUGGCUGGGGGUGAAAGGCCAAUCAAACCGGGAGAUAGCUGGUUCUCCCCGAAAGCUAUUUAGGUAGCGCCUCGUGAAUUCAUCUCCGGGGGUAGAGCACUGUUUCGGCAAGGGGGUCAUCCCGACUUACCAACCCGAUGCAAACUGCGAAUACCGGAGAAUGUUAUCACGGGAGACACACGGCGGGUGCUAACGUCCGUCGUGAAGAGGGAAACAACCCAGACCGCCAGCUAAGGUCCCAAAGUCAUGGUUAAGUGGGAAACGAUGUGGGAAGGCCCAGACAGCCAGGAUGUUGGCUUAGAAGCAGCCAUCAUUUAAAGAAAGCGUAAUAGCUCACUGGUCGAGUCGGCCUGCGCGGAAGAUGUAACGGGGCUAAACCAUGCACCGAAGCUGCGGCAGCGACGCUUAUGCGUUGUUGGGUAGGGGAGCGUUCUGUAAGCCUGCGAAGGUGUGCUGUGAGGCAUGCUGGAGGUAUCAGAAGUGCGAAUGCUGACAUAAGUAACGAUAAAGCGGGUGAAAAGCCCGCUCGCCGGAAGACCAAGGGUUCCUGUCCAACGUUAAUCGGGGCAGGGUGAGUCGACCCCUAAGGCGAGGCCGAAAGGCGUAGUCGAUGGGAAACAGGUUAAUAUUCCUGUACUUGGUGUUACUGCGAAGGGGGGACGGAGAAGGCUAUGUUGGCCGGGCGACGGUUGUCCCGGUUUAAGCGUGUAGGCUGGUUUUCCAGGCAAAUCCGGAAAAUCAAGGCUGAGGCGUGAUGACGAGGCACUACGGUGCUGAAGCAACAAAUGCCCUGCUUCCAGGAAAAGCCUCUAAGCAUCAGGUAACAUCAAAUCGUACCCCAAACCGACACAGGUGGUCAGGUAGAGAAUACCAAGGCGCUUGAGAGAACUCGGGUGAAGGAACUAGGCAAAAUGGUGCCGUAACUUCGGGAGAAGGCACGCUGAUAUGUAGGUGAAGUCCCUCGCGGAUGGAGCUGAAAUCAGUCGAAGAUACCAGCUGGCUGCAACUGUUUAUUAAAAACACAGCACUGUGCAAACACGAAAGUGGACGUAUACGGUGUGACGCCUGCCCGGUGCCGGAAGGUUAAUUGAUGGGGUCAGCGCAAGCGAAGCUCUUGAUCGAAGCCCCGGUAAACGGCGGCCGUAACUAUAACGGUCCUAAGGUAGCGAAAUUCCUUGUCGGGUAAGUUCCGACCUGCACGAAUGGCGUAAUGAUGGCCAGGCUGUCUCCACCCGAGACUCAGUGAAAUUGAACUCGCUGUGAAGAUGCAGUGUACCCGCGGCAAGACGGAAAGACCCCGUGAACCUUUACUAUAGCUUGACACUGAACAUUGAGCCUUGAUGUGUAGGAUAGGUGGGAGGCUUUGAAGUGUGGACGCCAGUCUGCAUGGAGCCGACCUUGAAAUACCACCCUUUAAUGUUUGAUGUUCUAACGUUGACCCGUAAUCCGGGUUGCGGACAGUGUCUGGUGGGUAGUUUGACUGGGGCGGUCUCCUCCUAAAGAGUAACGGAGGAGCACGAAGGUUGGCUAAUCCUGGUCGGACAUCAGGAGGUUAGUGCAAUGGCAUAAGCCAGCUUGACUGCGAGCGUGACGGCGCGAGCAGGUGCGAAAGCAGGUCAUAGUGAUCCGGUGGUUCUGAAUGGAAGGGCCAUCGCUCAACGGAUAAAAGGUACUCCGGGGAUAACAGGCUGAUACCGCCCAAGAGUUCAUAUCGACGGCGGUGUUUGGCACCUCGAUGUCGGCUCAUCACAUCCUGGGGCUGAAGUAGGUCCCAAGGGUAUGGCUGUUCGCCAUUUAAAGUGGUACGCGAGCUGGGUUUAGAACGUCGUGAGACAGUUCGGUCCCUAUCUGCCGUGGGCGCUGGAGAACUGAGGGGGGCUGCUCCUAGUACGAGAGGACCGGAGUGGACGCAUCACUGGUGUUCGGGUUGUCAUGCCAAUGGCACUGCCCGGUAGCUAAAUGCGGAAGAGAUAAGUGCUGAAAGCAUCUAAGCACGAAACUUGCCCCGAGAUGAGUUCUCCCUGACUCCUUGAGAGUCCUGAAGGAACGUUGAAGACGACGACGUUGAUAGGCCGGGUGUGUAAGCGCAGCGAUGCGUUGAGCUAACCGGUACUAAUGAACCGUGAGGCUUAACCUUACAACGCCGAAGCAGUU